CGCGUAGGUGGUUUGUUAAGUCAGCUGUGAAAGCCCCGGGCUCAACCUGGGAAUUGCAGUUGAUACUGGCAGGCUAGAGUACGAGAGAGGGAGGUAGAAUUCCAUGUGUAGCGGUGAAAUGCGUAGAUAUAUGGAGGAAUACCAGUGGCGAAGGCGGCCUCCUGGCUCGAUACUGACACUGAGGUGCGAAAGCGUGGGUAGCAAACAGGAUUAGAUACCCUGGUAGUCC
rnacentral:rRNA from 1 species